rnacentral:rRNA from 1 species
CAGUAGCCGCGGUAAAACGGAGGGGGCUAGCGUUGUUCGGAAUCACUGGGCGUAAAGCGCACGUAGGCGGCUUUGCAAGUCAGAGGUGAAAGCCCGGGGCUCAACCCCGGAUGUGCCUUUGAGACUGUGAGGCUUGAACGUCGGAGAGGUGAGUGGAAUUCCGAGUGUAGAGGUGAAAUUCGUAGAUAUUCGGAAGAACACCAGUGGCGAAGGCGGCUCGCUGGACGACUGUUGACGCUGAGGUGCGAAAGCGUGGGGAGCAAACAGGAUUAGAUACCCCUGUAGUCCCUGUCUCUUAUAC